AACGCUAGCUACAGGCUUAACACAUGCAAGUCGAGGGGCAGCAUGAACUUAGCUUGCUAAGUUUGAUGGCGACCGGCGCACGGGUGAGUAACACGUAUCCCACCUGCCGAUGACUCGGGGAUAGCCUUUCGAAAGAAAGAUUAAUACCCGAUGGCAUAGUUCUUCCGCAUGGUAGAACUAUUAAAGAAUUUCGGUCAUCGAUGGGGAUGCGUUCCAUUAGGUUGUUGGCGGGGUAACGGCCCACCAAGCCUUCGAUGGAUAGGGGUUCUGAGAGGAAGGUCCCCCACAUUGGAACUGAGACACGGUCCAAACUCCUACGGGAGGCAGCAGUGAGGAAUAUUGGUCAAUGGACGAGAGUCUGAACCAGCCAAGUAGCGUGAAGGAUGACUGCCCUAUGGGUUGUAAACUUCUUUUAUACGGGAAUAAAGUGAGGCACGUGUGCCUUUUUGUAUGUACCGUAUGAAUAAGGAUCGGCUAACUCCGUGCCAGCAGCCGCGGUAAUACGGAGGAUCCGAGCGUUAUCCGGAUUUAUUGGGUUUAAAGGGAGCGUAGGCGGACGCUUAAGUCAGUUGUGAAAGUUUGCGGCUCAACCGUAAAAUUGCAGUUGAUACUGGGUGUCUUGAGUACAGUAGAGGCAGGCGGAAUUCGUGGUGUAGCGGUGAAAUGCUUAGAUAUCACGAAGAACUCCGAUUG
rnacentral:rRNA from 1 species